ACGACCUUCUGUGAACCUUCUCCAACACUUUAUCUGAGUAGGACGGAUCGGAACGCAGCAGUGAUCUCCUCCCCUGCACCGCUACCGCCGAGAUUUGAAGCAGACCGCCGAGACCUGAAGUAGAUCUGAAGCAGAUGCGAAACAUCACCUCUCUCUCUCUUGCCGGCGAAACAGCAGAGAGCUAGGUGGAUUUACAACCGGGAGCAGUACGUAGGAGAUGGGAAAGAACUGGGAGCAGUAGGCUAUGGUGUUCUUCGGGGGUAACAUCGAUCUUACAUUAUCCUUUUUCUUUUAAUUUUCUUCCGCUGAUUUCUCUCGCGCAGCAGGAGACUAUGGUGGAUUUAUCAUCAACAUGGUUAGUUUGAUCUCUUUGUCUUUGAAAUCUUUGUUGAAGUUGGAGUGGUUAGUAAUUGUUUCUUGUUGGAUAUGGUGGUCGAUAUAUGAGCAGCAGGAGAGGGGAACAUUCUUCUUUUUCUUGUAAUUUUCUUCCAAGACGGCGAACCAGCAGUAAGCAGUUGGAGCAAAGCCAAACCCACCAAAGAAGCCAAGAAGAUCCCCAAAGAAAGGAAAGGUUACCCCAACGAGUAGAGUGAAGGCUGCGGCAGGCAAACAUUUAGUUAAAAGUUGUAUAUAUUUAUCAAUAGUGGUAUUCAGGUAAAGAAUAGGGUUAUUUUAAUUUCAGUCAUUGAUCUAGUCUAGUUCAAUAGUCAGUGAGUAAGUUCAUAUUUUUUGUGGAUGUAUAAUUUUCUUUCUUUUAAGUGAAUACUUUUAUUUUUUUCGAGUGCCA